UGUCAGGCCAGGCAGCUCCCCAGUGACUCCGGAGGGCUUCCGGGAAAAGGAAACAGUAACUUCUGCCAAAAGCAGACAGAAGGCUCCUGUACAAACAGACCUACAGGUCAGCUGACACUUAAUCACUGAAUGGCCGCACCUCCUCAUCUCCAAGCUCUUAGUGGAAAGAAGGAGCAGAAUAAGAACACAUUAAACCUUAAACUGAGAGAUAUCACUGAGAGAGAACAAGAGAAGAGGAACCACUUCAGAAUGAGAUGUUUUGCACCUCUGGCAGUUUUCAGUCAAAACUACUUAGAUCGUGUAAGAAAACAUUCAAAAGAAGAUAGCGUGCUCUCCAUAUAUUCUUGAGUCAGUCCUGGAAGACAUUUUGCAGAUAAAAGGGGCCAUUGCAAGUUUUUGAGGAGAGAAAAAUGAUCCAUACUGUAUAUAGAAGAUAAGGCCAGCAUAAUGAAGAAUUGUUAGAGAAAUACAGUCAUUUGGAGAACAAGAGAGUGAGUCCAAUCACACAAGCAACUUUCAAGUCUUGGGUAAGUCAGGUCCAUGAUAUUCCAUUGUCCAAAGCAAGUCAUAUGGCCAAGCCCAAGGUCAAGAUGUGCUCAUGAUGCAGGUGAGUAAAGAAAUGAAUAUUUCUGAACAACAGUGUUAUCUAACACACCAUCCUUUGGGAAUGAGUGAUUAAAAGGCUUAUGUAUGGCUUCUUCUUAGUGAAAAUUAAGUCAAUAAUGAAGGCAUUCAGAAAUCUUAGGGAUUAGGGUGCAAAGUUGCUACUUCUCCAGUGAGACAGAACUAAAUCCACUUGUAGAGAGAGGAGCUGCUGGUUUGAGACAGGCUCUCUGAACUUAAAAUUUUUAAGGUGCAGGUGAAAGUGUCACUUUAGUCAAAUGAGGGAGGUCAAGAUCAUAACACUGCCUGAACAGCGUCUAGAGUCCUUCUGUUUUGCAGAAAAAUUCCUCUAAAUCACAGAAUGAGUAUCCCUCCAUGAAUAAGCAACUGUUCACUCUAUUCAAGUUGGAGAUGAAUUUACAAAUGUUGACCAGAACUUAUUUAUAAUAAAACCAGAAGAGAAUAUUUCAAAGAGAUGGCUAAGACAAAAGCAGCAUAAGACACUUGUUAUAUGAUAGACUGAAAAUUACAUGACUUAUUGUACUGUACAAUUGUCUAUCCCUUUACCAAAAUGAUCUAAACAUCCUCCAACUCUGCCAAUUUUUACCCCAAUACUUCUACUACUUGUAUUCAUG
ensembl:lncRNA